AGGUAUUGUAGAUGGACCUACGCCAGUGGUUCUUAAACUUUUUGUCUGGCGACCCCACAAAAAAGUAUGGCGAGGUCUGGCGACCCCACUUUCCCCAAACCCAUUCUAAGUCCUUACUCAAAUACCCCCCUCAAACGUUAACAACUAAAUCAAGCAAAAACUAAAAAGCAAAGUCAUUUGUUUUAUUUACUCCAUAUGAACAAGAACCGAGAAAACCAAACAAUCACGAUUAAACAAGUGUAGGCUGCCGCCAUAUCAGAUCAGA